GACCCUGCAACCUACCCCUUCAUUUAUGGAUGGCCUUCCACUGGAGCACAGGAGAAUGGAAGGGGUAAACUAACCAGGGACCACACCUUAAAACUGACUCUUCCUAUCAAGCGCCAAGAGCUCUUUAGCUACGGUGCUUCCCUCAGGUCCAAUUUCAAGCCAACAACAUGUCACAGAACACAGAG